UGACAUGGUGAGCCACGCGAGCCUGGGUGGAGGCCCUCAGGGUGCCCCCAGCGCACACUCUGUGGGAGACGCCUGGCGCUGCUCCUUCAGGUCCAGGGACGCACACUUGGAACUGAGGAGCCGGGACCACUGAUGCGGCCCGAGGUGUCCUGCGAGUCCGGAGCCUGUUUCUGACCCAGAGGAGGGGGAAACGCUACAUCCAGGAGCAUCGGGGACACCCUGUGAAGGCUCAGAGGGACGUGUCCGAGGAAGGGGUCUGCACCCAGGACCACGGCCUGUGAGGAGGGAGCGUUCCGGCUCCAGUCCUGGGGCCCCACCCGGCCGCGGGGCCCGGACACCUCUGCUGUGGGUGCUGGAAACGUGAGCACAGCUCUGCACGGUUGACUGAAUCAAUUACGCCUUUGGAAUCUGACUUCACACACACACACACACACACACAGAUUUUUGAUAAUAGCUUAUCUGAGCACAAACACGGCUGGGGCCUGGGUCCCCAGCUGCCCUCCUGGGAGCCCUGAUGCCACACGUCUGGACACGACGCACACUCCCUCCGCUUUUGGGGAGGAGACCCCUCUGAAGACGCUCCUAGGCCUGGGAAGAGACUCUGAACCCACCGGGCUGGGUGACCCCCACCUGCAGUGCCUGCCCUGCUGAGGGCAGCUCCUGAAGGCAGGGUCCACACUGGACUGCGUGGCUGGAUCAAGGCUGGAUAUGCUUGCUGAGCAGAGAGUAGGACCAGACCUUAAGACCCUAAAGACAAACCAAAGAGGAAACACACUGCCACAGCCCGCCUGCCCAAGGUGAAGCGUUAAACCGCAUGAGAGG